rnacentral:rRNA from 1 species
CCUACGGGUGGCAGCAGUUGGGGAUAUUGCACAAUGGAGGAAACUCUGAUGCAGAGACGCCGCGUGAGGGAAGACGGUCUUCGGAUUGUACACCUCUGUCUGUGGUGAAGAAAAUGACGGUACCCAAAGAGUAAGCUCCGGCUAACUACGUGCGAGCAGCCGCGGUAAUACGUAGGGAGCGAGCGUGGUCCGGCAUUACUGGUUGUAAAGGGAGCGUAGGAGGGCGCGAAAGUUGAAUGUUAAAUCUACCGGCUUAACUAGUAGCUGCGUUCAAAACAUCUUGUUUUGAGUGAAGUAGAGGCAGGCGGAAUUCCUAGUGUAGCGGGGAAAUGCGUAGGUAUUAGGAGGAACACCAGUGGCGAAGGCGGCCUACUGGGCUUUAACUGACGCUGAGGCUCGAAAGCGUGGGGAGCAAACCGGAUUAGAUACCCUUGUAGUC